rnacentral:rRNA from 1 species
GACCAAUUGGAGGGCAAGUCUGGUGCCAGCAGCCGCGGUAAUUCCAGCUCCAAUAGCGUAUAUUAAAGUUGUUGCGGUUAAAACGUUCGUAGUUGAACUUGUGCUUCAUACGGGUAGUACGCCUAAAAUUUGGGUUAGUACAUUACCUUAUUGUAUGUAAGCGUAUUAUCGGUGGAGUUCUUAUAUUAUUAUAUAAUUAUUUAUAUAAUAAUAUUCCUCCUAUAUAAACCUGAUUCAAUCCUCUUCACCGAGUGUUGUUUUGGGCCGAUACAAUUACUUUGAACAAAUUAGAGUGCUUAAAGCAGGCUCUUAAUGCCUGAAUAUUCUGUGCAUGGAAUAAUGGAAUAAGACCUCUGUUCUAAUUUCAUUGGUUUUUAGAUCAAGAGGUAAUGAUUAAUAGAAGCAGUUGGGGGCAUUAGUAUUACGGCGCGAGAGGUGAAAUUCUUGGACCGUCGUAAGACUAACUUAAGCGAAAGCAUUUGCCAAAGAUGUUUUCAUUAAUCAAGAACGAAAGUUAGAGGUUCGAAGGCGAUCAGAUACCGCCCUAGUUCUAACCAUAAACGAUGCCAGCCAGCAAUUGGGUGUAGCUACUACUAUGGCUCUCUCAGUCGCUUCCCGGGAAACCAAAGCUUUUGGGCUCCGGGGGAAGUAUGGUUGCAAAGCUGAAACUUAAAGGAAUUGACGGAAGGGCACCACC